CACGUAGGGCGCAAGCGUUGUCCGGAAUUAUUGGGCGUAAAGAGCUCGUAGGCGGUCUGUUACGUCUGCUGUGAAAACCCAGGGCUUAACCCUGGGCUUGCAGUGGAUACGGGCAGACUGGAGGCAGGCAGGGGAGAACGGAAUUCCCGGUGUAGCGGUGAAAUGCGCAGAUAUCGGGAGGAACACCGGUGGCGAAGGCGGUUCUCUGGGCCUGUACUGACGCUGAGGAGCGAAAGCGUGGGGAGCGAACAGG
rnacentral:rRNA from 1 species